AGAGUUUGAUCCUGGCUCAGAAUGAACGGUGGCGGCGUGGAUUAGGCAUGCAAGUCGAGCGAGAAUCGGUCUUCGGAUAGGACAGCGGCGAACGGGGUAGGAAUACCUCGGUGACGUACCCCCAGGUCGGGGAUAGCGGCGGGAAGCUGCCGGUAAUACCCGAUGAUCUGUCUUGAUUUUAGUGUUGGGACAGCAAAGGUGUGAUUCCGUCUGGGGAGCGGCUGAGGUCGUAUUAGCUUGUUGGUGGGGUAACGGCCUACCAAGGCGAUGGUGCGUCGGGGGUGUGAGAGCAUGGCCCCCACCACUGGCACUGAGACACUGGCCAGACACCUACGGGUGGCUGCAGUCGAGAAUCUUCGGCAAUGGGCGCAAGCCUGACCGAGCGACGCCGCGUGCGGGAUAAGGUCUUCGGAUUGUAAACCGCUGUCGGAGGGGAUGAAAUGCAUCAGGGUACUCCCUGUGUUUGACAGAGCCUCGGAGGAAGCACGGGCAGUUCGUGCCAGCAGCCGCGGUAAUAC
rnacentral:rRNA from 1 species